GACCCGGCACAAGGACGCCGCCUGGUGGAUGGCUUGGCUUGGGCGCCGACGAAGGCCGUGACAAGCUGCGAUAAGCCCCGGGUAGGCGCAUGUAGCCGUUGAUCCGGGGAUCGCCGAAUGGGACUUCCUGCCGGCGGUAAACCGCCGGCGCUCCGGGCACGGAGCGGGAACCCCCCGAAUUGAAGCAUCUAAGUAGGGGGAGGAAAAGAAACCAAUAGGGAUUCCCUGAGUAGGGGCGACCGAAAGGGGAGUAGGGCAAACCGAACCCGCUAUGGAAACAUGGCGGGGAUGUGGAGUUGCAGGGCCCAGCCGCCGC
rnacentral:rRNA from 1 species